rnacentral:rRNA from 1 species
AGAGUUUGAUCAUGGCUCAGGAUGAACGCUAGCGGCAGGCUUAACACAUGCAAGUCGAGGGGUAACGGGGAGUGCUUGCACUCUGCCGACGACCGGCGCACGGGUGCGUAACGCGUAUACAAUCUACCUUAUACUAGGGGAUAGCCUUUAGAAAUGAAGAUUAAUACCCUAUAGUCUAUUAAUAUGGCAUCAUAUAAAUAGUAAAGAUUACGGUAUAAGAUGAGUAUGCGUCCUAUUAGUUAGUUGGUAAGGUAACGGCUUACCAAGGCUACGAUAGGUAGGGGCCCUGAGAGGGGGAUCCCCCACACUGGUACUGAGACACGGACCAGACUCCUACGGGAGGCAGCAGUGAGGAAUAUUGGACAAUGGAGGCAACUCUGAUCCAGCCAUGCCGCGUGCAGGAAGACUGCCCUAUGGGUUGUAAACUGCUUUUAUAUAGGAAGAAACCUUCUCUCGUGAAGAGAAGCUGACGGUACUAUAAGAAUAAGGACCGGCUAACUCCGUGCCAGCAGCCGCGGUAAUACGGAGGGUCCGAGCGUUAUCCGGUAUCAUUGGGUUUAAAGGGUCCGUAGGCGGGAAUCUAAGUCAGUGGUGAAAUCUUGCAGCUCAACUGU